UACGGGGGGGGCAAGCGUUGUUCGGAAUUACUGGGCGUAAAGGGCUCGUAGGCGGCCAACUAAGUCAGACGUGAAAUCCCUCGGCUUAACCGGGGAACUGCGUCUGAUACUGGAUGGCUUGAGUUCGGGAGAGGGAUGCGGAAUUCCUGGUGUAGCGGUGAAAUGCGCAGAUAUCAGGAGGAACACCGGUGGCGAAGGCGGAUCUCUGGGCCUGUUCUGACGCUGAGGCGCGAAAGCUAGGGGAGCGAACAGG
rnacentral:rRNA from 1 species